UGGGGAAUAUUGCGCAAUGGGCGAAAGCCUGACGCAGCGACGCCGCGUGGGGGAUGACGGCCUUCGGGUUGUAAACCUCUUUCAGCAGGGACGAAGCGAAAGUGACGGUACCUGCAGAAGAAGCACCGGCCAACUACGUGCCAGCAGCCGCGGUAAUACGUAGGGUGCAAGCGUUGUCCGGAAUUAUUGGGCGUAAAGAGCUCGUAGGCGGUUUGUUGCGUCGGCUGUGAAAACCUGAGGCUCAACCUCAGGCCUGCAGUCGAUACGAGCAGACUAGAGUGUUGCAGGGGAGACUGGAAUUCCUGGUGUAGCGGUGAAAUGCGCAGAUAUCAGGAGGAACACCGGUGGCGAAGGCGGGUCUCUGGGCAACAACUGACGCUGAGGAGCGAAAGCGUGGGGAGCGAACAGGAUUAGAUACCCUGGUAGUCCACGCCGUAAACGUUGGGCGCUAGGUGUGGGGCUCAUUCCACGAGUUCCGUGCCGCAGCUAACGCAUUAAGCGCCCCGCCUGGGGAGUACGGCCGCAAGGCUAAAACUUAAAUGAAUUGACGGGGUCAUAGCUGUUUCCU
rnacentral:rRNA from 1 species